UUUAUUUUGCUGCUUCAAUGACUAUCUGGGCCACUGUUGGGGAUUGGUCUGUUAUAGGCAACAGAAAAACCUUAAACCCUAAACUCUUUUCCUAUAUUUUCCCUGUGUCACCAACCCUGGUGUUGAAAACCUAAGUAUCUAUACCUUGUUAUGCUAGACUGGCCACUAUUUUUCAUUUUCCCUAAUUUUUUUCCCUCUUCCCAUUUUCUUAUUCUUUUCACUUUUUAUUCUAACUUCUUCCUUUUCCUUUCUUUUUCUUUUUCUUGAUUGUCGCACCAUUAUAGCCACUGUAUUCAUCCACCACCAUUGAUUGUUACAGCUCCUUACAUUCCUUGAAUCGCUGAAUCCCUUUCCCUUAUCAAAUCAUCCUCUUUUCGUUCAGAUUCCGUUGGUGUUUAGAUCUGUUAACGAAAACUAUCAUUAUCUUUUGCCAUAGAGUGGUAAGUGUGAUCUAUUUCAAUGGUUAAAUCUUGAUUUUCGGUUGUACAAUUGAGUUACGUUGUUCUUUUCGUUUUGCUUAAUCGAUCUCUUUCAGGUUUUUGUCGAAAGCCUUAAUACCAAUUACUAACUUGUGUAUCUGGUGCAAAUAUGUCAUUUGAAGGACUGGAUCUAGGGGUAUCGAAUUAGAUCUGAGCGUGUGGAGUAACGAACUAACUAUUGGUGAAAGGUGUGCAUCCUAACCAUGAAAAUCGGUGGCAAAUCGUGUGUGUAUUUUGGGAUCACACGGUCUACCACAUGAGCUUGUGUCCUACACGAUGGGUCAACACGAUCAUGAGCUACUGUAACUUUGUAUUUUCAAUGUCACAUGACCACAACUAGUUACACGGCCCAGUCACAUAAUCAUGUGACUAUCGUUGGGGAUUUUGCUUACUGAUCACGCGACCUUAAUGAAUUACAUGACUUGGACACACGACCAUAUACCUCAACACCACACAGUUGUGUGACCUCUAUUUUACAAUUUUGCCUUAAUCUUUGUGAAAUGUUUCAGUAUAGUCCCUAUACAGUCCCCAACUUGUUUAAAGUUCUCGUAUGCUCAAUUGAGACCCUUUUCUCAUAUUUGUUCUGUCAAUGAUUUGUUUGAUUAUGUAUUAAAUCUGAAAUUGCUACUGAUGUAUAUUCACUGCUACUAUUAAAACUACAAUUGCUAUUGUUUGCAUGAUAAUCACAUGAUCAUAUUGUUAUCAUUAUUGUUUAUUGAUCUAUAAAAAGUAUGAUGUACAAUUGCAUUGGGAUUGGGUUGUUGAAGGAGGAAGUGCUACUGGCAGUUUAUCCUCGUAUCUACUGCAGUUUAUCUGCAGAUCUACUGAUGAUAUAUCCACACGAGCUUAUGCUCCUAUUGUUAUGGUGUGUAAGGUUGGAUGAGUUUUGGGGAAUUCUUACCAUGGAGUGUAGCAGAUGGAUGAGUAGGAAAAUUUUACUAUUAAACCUGCAUAUACAUACUGAUAUCAUCGUGAAAUUGAUAAUAUGAUAUGUACUGUAUAUUGUAAAAUUGUAUGUUAUUAUUUAUUGUUUAAUUUGCUUACUGCUUAUGUGUUAAGACCACAUUAAAUUUUAUACCUCACCCCUUAGUUUUUCCUAUCUUUUUAGAUAACUUUUGAGGUUAGGGCUCGGACUCAACAUUUGGAGCAAUCAUCUGUUUUCAUCUAAAAACGUACUUUUAAACUGUUUUAUUAAUUCUUUUGGACUUUGCAUUAUUUUAAACAGACUGUGAUAUGGAAUUUAACAUUCAUAUGAG
rnacentral:lncRNA from 1 species